AGAUUGAACUGAAGAGUUUGAUCCUGGCUCAGAUUGAACGCUGGCGGCAUGCUUUACACAUGCAAGUCGAACGGCAGCACGGGAGCUUGCUCCUGGUGGCGAGUGGCGAACGGGUGAGUAAUGCAUCGGAAUGUACCGUGUAAUGGGGGAUAGCUCGGCGAAAGCCGGAUUAAUACCGCAUACGCCCUGAGGGGGAAAGCGGGGGA
rnacentral:rRNA from 1 species